GACUCAACUUCGUAUCCAAACUCCUUCUAACCCUCCUAAACAGAUACCAUAAGGGUUUGAAGUGAUUCCAAGGUGAUUAUACCAUAAUUCAACAUCAAAAGUUAGUCUUAGUGAAGGACAACAUCUCUUUGAGGUUGUGAUGUCAUUCAGGAUAAUUGUGGGUUGUGUUUGGAUGAAACUUCAAGUGGUUGUUGCUGGUUUAGGUAUGUAUAAUACUCUACUAUAUGUUCUUGAAGUUUUUUGUAUGUUGGUUUUAUUAUUUGAGCAAGAUACUACAAAAAAUGACUUGAAAUAGCUUGAGAUGUUAUUGUUAUUAUUAUUAUUAUUAUUAUUAACUUUCACCAAUAACUUUUUUUUUCUCUUUCUCUCGUUAUAUUCUUAGAUAUAUUAGUUAUUUCUUCUAAUUAUUGAGUAUAUUUUUUAAAUUAUUAUACAAAUCUAUGAUAACUAAUAAUAUAUUUAUUUGAAUAAAAAGUAAUACAAAUAUAUAUAUAACAUACACACACUUCACAUCGAAGAUAAUAUUAAAUGAAUUAUAGUUAUAUUCCAUGAUAAUUUUAAACAAUCCUAGAAAAUAUUAUUUGAAAAGAUCUUUAAAACCUAAAACUAAUGAUAGCAUAAAUUAGGAUAGUAUUACUUAUCGCUUCAAUGUAACUCAAUUACAUAGAAAAAUCUCUAAACAAUUAUGUCAUAUUUUGUUAACGUAAUAUAUUUCUUGGAUUUAUGUAUUAGAACUUACAUAUUAAGACUUCUCACCUAGUACCUAGUUUAAAAAAGAAAGAUUUAAUAAUCAAAAUUUUAGUUGAUUUCAAAGUCCUAAUAUUUAGAAUCUAACUAUUUGAAAAAUGAAUAUUUGAAAAAAGAAAAAAUUUAAUACACAAAAUAUAGUUGGUUUAAAACUCCUAAAUAUUAGAAAAAAGCAUAAAUGACUAUUUUGUCUUAUUACACCCCAUUUUUUCACACGUGAGAGUAAAUCGUAAGCCAAUUGAUAUAAGCUCAUAAAUGAGAUUGUCACUAAAAGUAUAUAAAGUAAGUUAAUCAUGUUAUCUUGGAGGUUACAAAUCUUUAAGAUCAUGGAUAAUAAGUACCAAGAUGAUUGAAAGUCUUAGAAGCUAAACAAAUUGAAGAAAAUAAGUUUCGUGAAAUGUCGACAAGUUGGGAAUGUUAUAACAUGUACUUUUAGGGUGAUAUUAGGGUGCUAAAAUGAUAAGGAGGUUAUGUUAUGAGUUAUUUUAGUCGUAUGAUAGUCGUGUAUUACAUUUUAAAGUCAAGCGAGUUUUGGAACAAAAGUUGGCAAAGGUCAUUACAAGUUACAUUCAUAAAUGUGCUGGAAAUUAGGUCAAAUAUAGCUGAGCUUUUCUCCCAAUAUACUUGGAAUUACUGGAUGAUCCAUCUAUCAAAUUGUAGAUCUACGAGUUUAGUUUCUAACGCAUGAAACCGUUCAAUGAUAGGAUAUCGGAGUAGAGAGAUAUUAGCGUUAUCGUGAGACCGCACAAGCAGCUCCAAAUGGGACCCACUUAGGCGGUAGUCGACGUACUUCACUUUAUAAAGGAUUUGGAUGCCAUUUUUUUCUUAUUUUCGACUCAACUUCGUAUCCAAACUCCUCAUAAACCUCCUAAAUAGAUACCAUAAGGGUUUGAAGUGAUUCCAAGGUGAUUACACCAUAUUUCAACAUCAAAAGUUAGUCUUAGUGAAGGACAACAUCUAUUUGAGUUUGUGAUGUCAUUCAGGAUAAUUGUGGGUUGUGUUUGGCUGAAACUUCAAGUGGUUGUUGCUGGUUUAGGUAUGUAUAAUACUCUACUACAUGUUCUUGAAGUUUUUUGUAUGCUGGUUUUAUUAUUUGAGCAAGAUACUACAAAAAAAGACUUGAAAUAGCUUGAGAUGUUAUUGUUCUUAAUGGACUGUUUUGGGAAGGUUGUUGUCACGACCCAAUUUUACCUACAGGUCAUGGUGGUGCCUGUCACAACCCUUUUUUAACACCUCACUUAACCCUCUUAAAAGUAAUAAAAAGAUUUUAUGAAGCUCAAAAAGGUUUUCAAUUUUGAAAGCGACAAAGGAUUGUGUUUCGAAGGAUUUUCAGAGUCGCCACCUGACAUUUGGUUUCGGUAUGCCAGGUCACCAUUUUUUUUAAAAUAACAAUUUCCCUUCAAAACAAAUUUGACUCUUAAACCAAUUUUCACCAGAGAUUCAAGGUAAGGGGGUUAAUUUGACUUGGGGAGAAGGUGUUAGGCAUUCCCCGAGUCCCGUAACUAGUACGGUUGCGUAUACAAUCAAGUUGGCUUUUAAAAUAUUCAAAUUGAAGUAAAAAAACACGAAAAAGGGAAAAUAAAUACACAAGAGGCUCGAGGUUGUCUCCACCUAAAUAAAGAAAAUAAAAUAAAAGGAAAAUACUAAAAGUCUAUGCUUGUUCCAUGAUGUUCGUUGCGGUAUCCAAUUACAUUCACUACGGGGCAUACCCCGGAUAAUAAUAAUAAUAAUAUAUACAAACUCACGGGGUAUUCCCCUGAAUAUAAACUAAAGGGAACAACCUCUUACCUCGGCAAAAUUAAAAGAAGCAACCUACGGUUUGCCUACCUGAGUGUGAUCGGCCUAAACAUGCUACUAGCGAACCCCAAAUGAAUUAAAGGUAAAACAAUCAGAUUGCCUCAAGCCUAAACCCGCAUAUACAAUAUCAAUUUAAUGAAUUGACCCAAACCCAUUUUUGAUCAAUCCCCCCGAUUCAAAAUAAUUCACUGUUUGCCCUUUCUAUUCAACUUGAUUCUUUCAUAUCUUCAUUUUUAUUGAACAUAUCUUAUAAGACAAAAUUCAAAGAAAACAAAUUAAACAAAAUAACAAUGAAGCUAACCAAGGUUAAACAAAUCAUAAGUAAAUUCAAAUUUGUUGAAACAAAGAAGUAUAUCCAUUGAUUAAUAAGAGGGUUGAAAACAGAUUGACCUGAAAAAUAAUCUUGCAAUUAAUAUAAUUUUGGCAAUUCACAGAUAGAAUACUGCAGCUAUGAAUGGAGUUCAAAACAACAAAUCCAACUCGAAAGAAGCCAACGGACCGCACCUCGGAUGGCAACUCCAACAAUCGAACACCCGUUUCAACUCAACUCCAUUUCGGAAACCGACACUAAAAGAACAGCCUAAAUUUUUAUUAUGUAUUUCGCGUUUGAAAUAAAAAAUAAAGCUAAACUCAACUGAAAAUCAGAAAAUGAAAAGUUAGAAUCAAAAGCCAAAACCCCUGUUUUUCUUUAAUUCUUUUUUUCGCCCAGAUUUUUUUUCCUGUUCUUGUGACUUUUCCCCGUUUCCCCUUAUGUUUGUCCGUUCCCUGCCUCUGUUUUUUGCUAUUGUACAUGUGUGUGUGGUCGCCGAAUUCCGGCCAGUUAUGGUAGUGAGGGAGUAGUGGGGUGGCUGGUGAGAGGUUGUGCGGCGGGUGGCAGCUGGGGUCUAGGUUAAUGGAGGUUAAGAUUUGUGGAAGGGUGGUAUGUUAGGUGACAGGAGAAGUUAGAGAAGAGGGGUGACGUUGGUGGUCAGAUGGGGGCGGUCGGCGGCUGUCUUCAUGGUGAAGCGGAAUUAGGUUUGGUGGUAGAUGGGGGUGGUCGGCGGCUAGAAUGGGGUGUGUUAGAUUGCUGAUGAAGCUUAGGGUUUCUAGGUUAGAGAAGAAGAUGAGGUCUUAACUUUUGGAUAUUAGGUUAUUUGUGGGUUUUAUGGAUAUUGGGCUUGGAUUUAGGUACUAUAUGUUAUUUGGGCUAAGGGGAAUUGGGUUGGUCUAAAAUUGCUUAAGAAAAUUCGAAAAUGAGACUAGUUUUGGGGUUGUUCAAACUCUUUUAGCUAAAAUCCCAAAUCUUAUUCUAAAAAGUAUAACGCAUUUAUAAAACAAAGAAAUCACUCUUAAUUAAUUAAUAUAUACUACUAAAAUAAAAAUAGAUAUUAAAAGUGAAACUAUUUUUGUAUUUUUUUAAAAAUUUUAUGAGAGGUAGAUAAACUAAGAGUAACUAGAUAAAAUAUCAAUUAGUUAAAUAAAAGCAAAUAUUUUUGUAAUUUUUAUGAUAAAAUAAAGUAAAAGAGUCAAAACUAGUUAAAAUUAGUGAUAUUAGACCUAAACUAAAUAUUUAAACGCUAAAAUGUGUAAAAUCUCGGGGAGGGUCAAAAAUAACAUGUCUACAGCUGCCCCUCUUUGACUGGAAAUACGAAGAGUUUUCAGACAGAGAACGACGAAACAGAUUUUUUUAGCAGACCCUUAUUUUGAGAGACUAAAAACUAAAAGAAAAUAGACUGUGACCGAGCCCUGGUAUCUGAGCUGCCUACAUAUCCUUGGCCAUAAAGAAAUCAAGACACGUGCAAUUCUGUAACGACCCGACCGGUUGUUUUGAGCUUUUACAUUUCCCUCGCUAGUUCUCGGGCAUGACUAGCCCUCUGUAUUGUAUUAUGACUUAUGUAAAUCGUCAGUUUUGGUUUUCAGGAUAAUCGGAAUAGAUUUGGAAGAAUAAUUCUCAGUUUAAAGCUUUAAAUUUGAAAGGUUUGACCAAGUUUUGACAUUUUAGUAUUCGAUCUCGGAUUUGGAUUUUUAUGAUUUAAUUAGCUCCGUUAGGUGAUUUUGGACUUGGGAGCGCAUCCGGAAUGUAUUUUGGAGGUCCGUGGUAGAUUUAGGCUUGAAUUAGCGAAAUUGAAAAUUUGGCAUUUUCCGGCCGGCAUUGGAAAUUUUGUUAUCGGGGUCGGAAUGGAAUUCCGGAAAUUGGAGUAGGUCCAUUGUGUCAUUUUUGACGUGUGUACAAAAUUUUAGGUCAUUCGGACGAGGUCUGAUAGACUUUUUGAUCGACUUUAGAAUUUAGAAGUUUUGAAAUUCUUAGGCUUGAAUCUGAGUGUGAUUCGAUGUUUUGAUGUUGUUUUAAGCGUUCCAAAGAUUGGAACAAGUUUGAAUGAUGUUAUGGGAUGUGUUGGCAUGUUUGGUUGAGGUCCCGAGGGUCUCGGGUGAGUUUCGGGGUGGUUUCAGACCAUUUCUAGGCCAUUUCUAGUUGUUGGUUUUUGGCUUCAGGGGUGUACAGUGCGUUAGCAUAGAGAAAAUUUGGAAAAAUGGAGUUGUGCUAUGUGAUCGCAUAAGUCUUCCCACGAUCGCAUAGAGUAAAAUCUUUGCUACACUGACCCGAUUUUGGAAGCUUAUAUCUCACAAUAUAUAAGGAAUUUGAAGAUGAUCUGAAAACAAAAAUUGUAGCCCUUGAUGUCUAGUUUUCAAAAUGUUUAACCAAUUAUAAUUUGGAGUUUUGUACAAAAAGUUAUAACCAUUAUACCAGAGGCUGUCCGGAAGAGUUGGAGAAGGCUGUUGGAAAAAUUUGUUCUACGCGAUCGCGAGGGAAUGGCCGCGAUCGCAUAGGGUAAAAGAAGGGAAAUUUUAUGCUUCGCUAUCAUAUUAGUUUAUCCGCGAUAGCAUAGGGUAAAUGCCUGGGCGGAUUAUAAAGUACUCUAUUUCGAGAAUUUCGAUCAUUUUUGCAUUUUUGGAGAUAUGAAGCUCGGAUUGAGGCAAUUUUUGAAAGGAUUUUCAGAGGAUUGAUUGGGGUAAGUAUUCUUCACUCAAAUUUGGUUAAAUCUCAUGAUUAUAUCUUGAUUCUUAUCAUUUAAUUUGGGAAUUUGGGGUAAAAAUGGGGGAAAAUGGAGGAAGGUUUGGAGAGUUGAUUUUGGGGAUUUGGAUCGCCAUUUGAUGUCGGAUUUUGGUAAAUUUGAUAUGGGUAGACUCGCGAGCGAAUGGGUUUUCCAGUUUUGUGAUUUUUAUCAGAUUCCAAGAUGUGGUCCCGGGGUCAGGUUUGAGCCAAUUUCGGGAUUUUUGAGUUAAUUUGAUUAUUUUCGCUUGGGCUUUGUUCUUUUAGUGUAUAUUGAUGAUAAUAUACAGAUUUUGGUUAGAUUUGGAGCAUUUGGAGGCCGAUUCGAGAGGCAAAGGCAUCGCGGGCUAGAGUUUGGACCGAUUUGAGGUAAGUAAUGAUUGUAAAUGUUGUCCUGAGGGUAUGAAACCCCGAAUUUCACAUCGUUGUGCUACUUUAGGGUGACACACACGCUAGGUGACGAGCGUGGGGUUGUGAACCAUUGGGGUUUGUGACUUGGUCCGUCCCUUAUGACUGUUAAGUCGCGUAUUUGAUUGAAAACUAUUUGAUAUUAUUGUGUUUUGAAAAUUAUUAUCAUGUUUUGGGCUAAAUGCCAUAUUUGGCCUCGUGCCAACUGUUUUGGACCCUUAGGGGAUUUUUACUAUUCCUCACUAUUUUGACUUCAUAUUUGUACUUAGUCAUGCUGUAUUCUACUAUUUUUCAUAACUCAACUAUAUUUACUCAUUUUUGAUAUUUUAAAUAAUAUUUUGGGCUGAACUUCAUGUUUUACUAUUGCCCGAGUGGCUUGAGAGAUUUUGGACUAAGUGAGGUCGAGGGCCUGUGUCGUGAGGAUAUUAUGGGAUCGGGCUGCGCGCUGCAGCAGUGUGGUACUGAUUUAUGAUUAUGAGGCCGAGGGCCUGAUUUGUUACGCCACGAGGUGGCUUGAUAUGAGGCCGAGAGCCUAUCUGAUUAUGCCACGAGAUGGCUUGUUAUUGCAUUUGGGCCGUAAGCCCCCCCCCCCCCCCCCCGGGAGUCUAUACACCCCCAAUGAGCGUGGGUACCUAGUGUGAGUGAUAUGAUGUAGCUCGAGGGGCUGUUUUUGUUUCAUAUUGUAGCCCUAGGGGCUAUUCUUGAUCCAUGUUUUGACCGAGGGGCGGUUCUUGAUUCAUGUUAUGCCCGAGGGGCUGAUACGAGUGAUUGUAAGGUAGCCCGAGGGGCUAGUUCUAUUGAUAUUAUGCCCGAUGGGCUGUUUACAUUUCUAUCAUUGUUUUAUCACCCGUUUGAAACUAUUGAAGGUUGUUUUAAAGGGUUUUACUGAAACUGAGCUUGAUUUACGAAGUAAAUGAUUUUUGUACUGUUUUGGAAAGGUACUGCAUUUGUUGUAGCGUUAUGACAUGGCUUAUGUAUUUUCUUACUGCUCAGCUUUCAUUUACUUUUAUUACUUAUUGAGUUGGCAUACUCACAUUACUUCAUGCACCUUGUGUGCAGAUUUAGGUAUUUCUGAACCCGGUAGCGGGUGUUGAUUACUCAGUGGCAGAGUCAUUGGAGUUAGAAGGGAAGCUGCCCGACGUUCGCAGCCCUACUCUUCUCCCUCUUGUAUUCCUUAAAUUGUUUUAGUAUAUUUUCAGACCUUAGUAGAUGCUCGUGACUUGUUAUACCCCGAUGUCAGGCUUGUGUAUUUAUUCCGCACUAUCCAUUUAGACUUACACUAUGAGAUAUAUGAUUAAUUAAAGGCUUAAAAAUAAUUGUUAUUGAUUAAAUAGUUAAUUCUAGAGUUGUGUCGGCUGGCUUAGUUUCACGAUAUGUGCCAUCACGAUCGGAUCGGUUUUAGGGUCGUGACAAGUUGGUAUUAGAGCCAGGUUACAUAGGUCUCACGAGUCAUGAGCAGGUUUAGUAGAGUCUCCAGAUCGGUACGGAGACAUCUGCACUUAUCCUCGGGAGGCUACAAAACCUUUAGGAAAAACUUCACAUUCUUGAAUUCUUAUCGUUUUGAAUUCCUUCCACGCAUUCGUAUGCACACAUGAGCCCUCGGUAUCAGCAGUGCAU
rnacentral:lncRNA from 1 species